UUAGAGUUUGAUCAUGGCUCAGAACGAACGCUGGCGGCAUGCCUCAUACAUGCAAGUCGAACGAGAUCUUCGGAUCUAGUGGCGCACGGGUGAGUAACAUGUGGGAAUCUACCUGAAGGUUCGGAAUAACUGCGGGAAACUGUAGCUAAUACCGGAUGUGUCUGCAAAGAGAAAGAUUUAUCGCCUUCAGAUGAGCCCGCACUAGAUUAGCUAGUUGGUGAGGUAAUUGCUCCACCAAGGCUACGAUCUAUAGCUGAUUUGAGAGGAUGAUCAGCCACACUGGGACUGAGACACGGCCCAGACUCCUACGGGAGGCAGCAGUAGGGAAUAUUGGACAAUGGGGGAAACCCUGAUCCAGCAAUGCCGCGUGAGUGAAGAAGGCCUUCGGGUUGUAAAGCUCUUUCAUCAAUGAUGAUAAUGACAUUAGUUGAAGAAGAAGCCCCGGCUAACUUCGUGCCAGCAGCCGCGGUAAUACGAAGGGGGCUAGCGUUGUUCGGAAUCACUGGGCGUAAAGCGUAUGUAGGCGGAUCAAAAAGUUAGAUGUGAAAUCCCUGGGCUCAACCCAGGAACUGCAUUUAAAACUAGUGAUCUAGAAUUUGGUAGGGGUUAGUAGAAUUUCCAGUGUAGAGGUGAAAUUCGUAGAUAUUGGAAAGAAUACCAGUGGCGAAGGCGACUAACUGGGCCAUUUUUGACGCUGAGAUACGAAAGCGUGGGUAGCAAACAGGAUUAGAUACCCUGGUAGUCCACGCAGUAAACGAUGAGUGCUAGUCGCUGGGACAAUAGUUUCAGUGUCGAAGCUAACGCAUUAAGCACUCCGCCUGGGAAGUACGGUCGCAAGAUUAAAACUCAAAUAAAUUGACGGGGGCCCGCACAAGCGGUGGAGCAUGUGGUUUAAUUCGAAGCAACGCGAAGAACCUUACCAGACCUUGACAUGGUAUGUUUGAAUUACAGAAUCGUAAUUCUUCAGUUCGGCUGGCAUACACACAGGUGCUGCAUGGCUGUCGUCAGCUCGUGUCGUGAGAUGUUGGGUUAAGUCCCGCAACGAGCGCAACCCUCAUUUUUAGUUGCCAGCAGGUUAAGCUGGGCACUCUAAAAAAACUGCCGGUGAUAAGCUGGAGGAAGGCGGGGAUGACGUCAAGUCCUCAUGGCCCUUACGGUCUGGGCUACACACGUGCUACAAUGGUGGUGACAGUGGGCAGCAAUACUGCAAAGUAAAGCUAAUCCCAAAAAACCAUCUCAGUUCGGAUUGGACUCUGCAACUCGAGUCCAUGAAGUUGGAAUCGCUAGUAAUCGUAGAUCAGCGUGCUACGGUGAAUACGUUCUCGGGCCUUGUACACACCGCCCGUCACACCAUGGGAGUUGGUUGCACCAGAAGUGGGUAGUUUAACCUUCGGGAGAACGCUUACAACGGUGUGGUCAAUGACUGGGGUGAAGUCGUAACAAGGUA
rnacentral:rRNA from 1 species